UUUUUCAAUAAUUUUUUACCCUUACCCCCCACCAGCUCUCCCGCACCAAAAACAAGGCGAAAAAAAAAAUAAUAGAAUAAAACAGGCUGUGUGUUUGUGUGACUUCCCCAAAAUUCCGUCUCGCACCAUACAUACACAUGGAAAGAGCACCAACUCCAGCAACAAAGAGGCAAGUACUGUUCUUUUCUCUCCGUCAACUCUCCCUCCAUCCCUCCUUUAAUAUCAUUCUCAGGUAGCUUAUUUUGUUCUCUGCAUUGGUUUUAGUUUUGUAGCUGGGAAUAUUUUACUCAUUUUCUUUGGAGAAUUUUGCUUAGCGUAAGCCCUGCUUGAAUUUUUUUUUUGAGGAAAUUUUUGCCUUGAAAUGGAUGGGAGGAAGAGGAAUUUUUUUAAGAAACAGAUGAACACGCCCUUUAAAAGAAAAGGGGUCAAUAAUAAUAGGAAACCGAAAUGGGUUACUAAUUCUGGCCAUGAACAGUCUUCCGGGAAUUCUAAUCCUGGAGACACUGUUUAUCGUGUACUUUGUCCUUCCAGAAAAAUUGGUGGUGUCAUUGGGAAGGGUGGGAAUAUAGUAAAAGCAUUAAGGGAGGAGACCCAGGCUAAGAUUACGGUUAGUGAUUCAGUUCUUGGUUGCGAUGAGAGAGUUAUUAUUAUUUUUAGUUCACCCAUGAAGGUGAAAAAACAUAAUUUUGAUGAGGAUUCGGGUGCUGAGAAUGAAAAAGAGGUGGUGCUAGAGAUGGAGCCUUGCUGUGCUGCACAGGAUGCUCUGUUGAAAGUUCAUGAUAGGAUUGUUGAGGAAGAUCUUUUUGGUGGGAUGGCAUCGGAUGAUGAUAAUGGGAAUACUGUUGUCACUGCACGGCUUCUUGUUCCGAAUAAUAUGGUAGGAUGCCUCUUAGGGAGACGGGGUGAUGUGAUUCAAGGGUUGCGAAGUGGCACAGGUGCUAGUAUCCGUGUUCUUCCGGCUGAUCAUCUUCCUGCUUGUGCAAUGGCAACUGAUGAAUUAGUGCAGAUAUCAGGAAAGCAAGAUGUUGCAAAGAGGGCUCUCUAUGAAGUUUCCACACUCUUGCAUCAGAAUCCACGAAAAGACAACCCUCCUUUGAGCUUCCCUGUGCCUCAUGCUGGCCAGAAUUUUCCUCCGAAUGCUGUUCCACUCAACAAUUCAAUGCGGUCUCAGCGGAAUUCUUCUCCCCGUGAUAUUCAACCAAUGCCAUGGAUGGGCCACCAUGGAAACCGGCCAUCUGGAUUUGUGCCAGGUAGCUUCAGCAGCAUUCCUCCAGCACGUGGUGCUGAAGCUUCAGCUGAAUUUUCGAUGAAAAUUUUGUGCCUAGCUGGAAAGAUUGGUGGUGUAAUUGGCAAGGGUGGCUUUAAUGUUAAACAGUUACAGCAGGAAACAGGAGCAGGCAUUCAUGUUGAGGAUGCAUCAACGGAGUCCGAUGAGCGUGUGAUUCGUGUCUCAGCAAUUGAGGCUCUUUGGAACCCUCGAUCACAAACAAUAGAUGCCAUUCUACAGCUUCAGAAUAAAACUAGUGAAUUGUCUGAGAAAGGUACAAUUACUACUAGGUUGCUUGUUCCAUCAAGUAAGGUUGGCUGCAUUCUUGGGCAAGGAGGUCAUGUAAUCAAUGAGAUGAGGAGGAGAACCCAGGCAGAUAUUCGUGUUUACUCGAAGGAUGAUAAGCCUAAGUGUGCAUCUGAUGAUGAAGAGCUAGUACAGAUAUCUGGCAAUUUUGGCGUUGCUAAGGAUGCUUUGGCCGAGAUUGCUUCGAGACUUAGAGUAAGAACUUUGCGAGAUGUGAAUGCUGGAGCAGAACCUGCUUCUGUUGGGCCUGUCCAUGGAUUUGGUCCUGCAAGGAGCAUGCCGGGUGGUCUACCACCAGUUGCUGCAAUAGGACCUGGCCGCUCUAGUGGAAAUGAACCUUUCAGGGGUGGUGGACGUGAAUAUGAACCUCAGAAUUAUUCUGUUCCUCCAGCUGCUUCUAGAUACUCAAAUAUGAACAGUGCUUUAGAGGCUAAAGUUUCUAAAAAUGUGUCAACUUCUGUAAUAGGCAUCGGAGGAAGCACUAUUUUCAAUGGUAGUGAGGCUUCAGGUGCAAGAGUAAAGCUUGAUGAUCCUCUAACCGGUGGCUCUGAAGAGUUCUGUGGAUCUUCUGAGCGUCUAUCUGCCACUCAAAGCAAUUUUCACUCAUUCAUGGCUUCUUCUGGACAAAGCAUGCUUGCACAACCAAGGUCAUAUCAGAAUUCAAACAUUCAGCAAAGUUCAUAUCAGAACAUGAAUACUCAAUAUAGCCCCUACCAAAAUGUGAAUGCUCCACAGAGCCCCUAUCAAAACAGCAUUAAUUGAGUGGUGUGGAUUGGGGUGGAAACACAAGCUGCAACGCUCUCUCAUGGUAGAGUGGUGAGCUAGAGCUAGAGCUAUGUUUUGCACGGGAGAGCCUUGCUUCCUUGUUGAAGGAGCUGGGUUGCACUCAAUCUUCUCACAUGGACUCAGCUUGUCAUUUCAAUUAAAUAUGCAAGGGUCUUGGAUUUGUUACAGGAAGCAUCACCAUCCCAUGUUGUCUGAAGUGCACUAGAAAAUCAGUGAACUCUGUGUAGUUGUGUUGGAUUGCACUUCAUCAAAUUCAAACUUCAGAUGCCUGUUUACUGUAAUUAACCGGGCUGGUGAUUCUUGGACCAGCAUUUCACUCAAAUGAUUCUGAUUCUAGUUAUGGGUAAAUUCUGAAACCCCUAACUUUGGGCUCUUAGUUGCAUGCUUAAUUUGGUAUUUUCUCCAAUGUUCUUAGUUGCAUGCUUGAUGAAAACAUACGAGGCUUAAAAGGCAAAUGCAAAACCUUAAUGAGUCUGCUCUUGAGGGCUCGAAGGGUAUUUUAUAGCAGUUUUAGGGCAUUCGAUAACAUUAAUGUUUUUUUUAAUUUUCUCUUCAUGCAACUGUGAUGAUUUUCAAUAUAUUCAAGAGAGUUUAAAGUCAAAUCCUUGAAUGGUUAAGCCAUCGGAGGGAAAAAUCUUUGGGAAGAAACAUUCUCAUUGCUCAUAUUUCAUACCUAUCAAUUGAUAAAAUAAAACAACUACGUUAUCUAUCG